rnacentral:rRNA from 1 species
UACGUAGGGGACGAGCGUUGUCCGGAUUCAUUGGGCGUAAAGCGCGCGUAGGCGGCGCGGUAAGUCGGGUGUGAAAUCUCGGAGCUUAACUCCGAAACUGCAUUCGAUACUGCCGUGCUUGAGGACUGGAGAGGAGACUGGAAUUUACGGUGUAGCGGUGAAAUGCGUAGAUAUCGUAAGGAAGACCAGUGGCGAAGGCGGGUCUCUGGACAGUUCCUGACGCUGAGGCACGAAGGCCAGGGGAGCAAACGGG